rnacentral:rRNA from 1 species
CCGAAUGGGGCAACCCGGCCUAUUGAAGGUAUAUUACCCCGCAAGGGAAGCGAACCCGGAGAACUGAAACAUCUAAGUANCCGGAGGANGAGAAAACAAAAGUGAUUCCGGNAGUAGNGGCGAGCGAACNCGGAUUAGCCCAAACCACAGUUGUUUCGGCAAUUNUGGGGUUGUAGGACCACGACAUUGNAUGCUUAANGAANUAGAANNNUNUGGAAAGNNNGACCGAUAGAGGGUGAUAGUCCCGUACAAGUAAAGAGAGUUAAUGAUAGUGGUAUCCUGAGUAGUGCGGGGCACGUGAAACCCUGCAUGAAUCAACCGGGACCAUCCGGUAAGGCUAAAUACUCCUGAGAGACCGA